AGCUGUUUCUGGUGAGCACUGUGCAGAUGCAGGCGAGAGGAUGUUUGAUGGGGCAGAGACGAAAGCACAGGUCUCCAUUUCAGGCAUUCAUGGCUAAUGAAAUGCAGAGCCAGGACAUGUUCCCCAGGCACUGAGUCUUGACACAAGGCCCUGCUUCUGGCUGCGACCCUCUUGCUCAGCUGUAAUGAAGCCAAUUUACAGACUGAGGUGAUCUUGCAACCUGUGGCUUGGUUACUUAUAGGCUUGAAGGGACAUUUGCUCCAAAUCCCAAUGUUCAUCUGCUGAUGUACAGGAGAUGUAUUAAUAAUGUAUUUGUGUAAUUCACAAACCUUUCCCAUUUUCCCUCCUGUCUGAGGCCCUUGUGCACUAGCUACUUCCCGUGAACACAUGUGAAGCUGAUAAACUUCCAAUCUUGCUUUGCCUAUUGUUGAGGAAACUGAGAAGCAUGAUAGCUGCAUGCCUGGCAAAGCAUGACAGUAACCAGUAAUGAGAGACGAGUGUUUCAUUUGUUAGGCUAUUGGGCUCAUUGCACGGCUGCCCACGUGGCCAGUACAUGGAACUGGUGUUAAUGAACUGCAGAUCUUCAGCAUACCAUUCUUAACUGAUUCCCCUAGUAAGUAUGUUUAACACUUGCCUUGGUUUCCUGUACAUGAUUCAUUUGGCUAGUAAGUGAUCCAUCUUUGUUUGCUGUCAAAGUCUUUGAGUUGGAAAAGGACUUUAAUCAUGUUACUUGGCUUUUCUGAACAGGGAGAAGAAAUGGAGUCAAAUAAGCACGCAAUGGUAAUGCAGUCAAAUAAGAACCAUGGCCUGAGUUUCUUUCACUAAUAAAAAGUUGCGGAAGCUUCAA